rnacentral:rRNA from 1 species
UAGUGGCGAACGGGUGAGUAACACGUGGGCAAUCUGCCCUUCACUCUGGGACAAGCCCUGGAAACGGGGUCUAAUACCGGAUAAUACUUUCUCCUGCAUGGGGGAGGGUUGAAAGCUCCGGCGGUGAAGGAUGAGCCCGCGGCCUAUCAGCUUGUUGGUGGGGUGAUGGCCUACCAAGGCGACGACGGGUAGCCGGCCUGAGAGGGCGACCGGCCACACUGGGACUGAGACACGGCCCAGACUCCUACGGGAGGCAGCAGUGGGGAAUAUUGCACAAUGGGCGGAAGCCUGAUGCAGCGACGCCGCGUGAGGGAUGACGGCCUUCGGGUUGUAAACCUCUUUCAGCAGGGAAGAAGCGUGAGUGACGGUACCUGCAGAAGAAGCGCCGGCUAACUACGUGCCAGCAGCCGCGGUAAUACGUAGGGCGCAAGCGUUGUCCGGAAUUAUUGGGCGUAAAGAGCUCGUAGGCGGCUUGUCGCGUCGGAUGUGAAAGCCCGGGGCUCAACCCCGGGUCUGCAUUCGAUACGGGCAGGCUGGAGUGUGGUAGGGGAGAUCGGAAUUCCU